GUCUCUGGCCAUGCCACCCUGAACAAGCCCAAUGUCUGAUCUCAGAAGCUAAGCAGGGUCGGGCCUGGUUAGUACUUGGAAGAACAGGUGCUGUAGGCA
rnacentral:rRNA from 1 species